rnacentral:sRNA from 1 species
ACGCUAUUAACCAGAACAAGGGCCCUUCCCCCCUGCUCUCCCAGCUUUACCAAGCAUUAGUUGGCCUGACAUAUUCUUUAAACUUUUUUUUUCCAAGCAGGCAAGUAUCCCGACAUAGCAGGAGCACGUUAGCCCAGAGGAGUCUGUCUGUAGGAAACAGAUUUUUAAGCAGCUGUCUCAUCUCCUGAGACCAUCUCGCCAGCUUCCCCUGCAAGUUUUCGGCAGCCCCAACCUCCAUCCAAGUUUUCAGCAAACUUCCGAAGAACGUCUCUCCCUUGUCAAAAAGCAGUGAUGGAAGCUUCCGAGGCUGCUGCCAAGUCUCGAGCGAAGGCUACACUCACUGAGGCUCCUGCCCCGCCAGCCUUAAUCGAAAUCCUGCUUCUUCCUUGUCUAUCUUUUCUCUGCCCUUCCUCCCCAUUCUUAUCCUCUCUUUGUUUUCUUUCUGUCCUUCUUUCUCUCCUCCUUCUUUCCUGUUUCUCUCCUCCCCCUCCAAAUAUAGACACAAUCCAAGUAUGACUGUCUGCAGGCUGCUUUUUGUGUCUUCCUCCCCUGCACAGCAGGAAGCCCCCUCUGGUGCCCUGUGUAAAUACUAACAGCAGCUAAUGCAUUAGGAACCUCCUCUUAUAAGCUGUCAUGCUUAAACCCCAUUAAGAAAACAUGAUGUGGUUUAGACAACACAAUGAUCACAUCUUGACCAUAGACAUGAGUACGUGGCCUUACAGAACAGAUGUAUCUGUGAGCCUGAACUCUGGAUUUCGAAGCGGCUUCUAUUUCAACAAUGCUGUGAGCAUACGCCAAAGUGCUCACCUUCCUUGCCCAGUCCUUUCUGACUGAAGGCGAUUUUCCAGACUUUUAGGUUUCUUGGGGUGGUGAAUGUUUAAUAAGAUGUGGACACUUGGCUACACCCAUUCUGUAAUUCCUGGCUGUAAUUCAAAAAACAUGCUCCUUCUUGUA